GAAGCGGAGCGAGCAGCUGCCGUUGGGAACCCGAAGCUCGGCUGGGUUGUCCGGAGGCAGCCCCGUCGCCCCGCCCCUUCUGUGCAGCAGGUGGGAAGUGCCGAGAGGCAUGUCCACUAAAGGACGGGCAGCUGCCGCCCAACCCCGAGAGAGGCGGCGGUGGAAUGUCCCACCCUCCCGGUUCUCCUGGAGCAGAUAAUAAUAUUACUUGGUAUACCUCAUCCAGAAAUAUGUCUCCCUCAAGCUUAAGUGUGCCUCAGGUGCAAAACUCAGCACUGCCUCCGUCU